CAGUACAAUAGAACUUAGUUUGUUUUUUUUUGUCAUCAUACAAAUAGAACUUAGUAUUCUCAUGUAAUUAAGUAAACUGAAAGUAGCAGAACAAAAGAAAAGAUAUAAAAAAAAAAAAAAAUGGCAAAGAGCUUGUGCAUCGUUACUCUGUUGAUGAUCUUUCUCUUGAUUAUAUCACAGAAUGGAGAAGCUCAAUGCGCGGGAAAGCGAAGCGAAGCAGCACCUGAAAAUAUCUGCAAUCUUGAGGAUGGAUAUCUCCGCGGAAAAUGUGACAAUGAGGACGGAGAAAUAGUUUGCAAUAGUUACGAUUGCGAGGCUUAAUCUACGACUUCUGCUGCUUGGAAAUUAAAAUUAUGUUCGAUCAUUUGACCUUGUCUUUGUGUUUGAAUUUCUCUCGGUGUGUGUUUUAAAUGUUUUGUUGUAUGAUUUGGAAUAAUCUAAAUAGCUUUUGAUUUGGCUUAUUCGUCAAUUAAAAAGUGGUCUG